CCCCUUCCUUAGCCAGUGGAUUAUGGGAGCUCAUCCUGCAAUCUUGUAUGGAUUUGAUCAUGGCAAAGCUAUGUUUCCAAUACGUCCUACAAAAGGAACCUUUUAGCUAGGUCACUGUUCUAAUAAAUUUACUCUAAACAGAAAGGAAAACAUUUGAGGGUAAAAAUGAAAUUACGAUAUAGUUGGUUAUUGAGUAUUCUGCUUCAAACUGCUAUUUCUGGAGGCAUCAAGAAACCCCAAAUAGUUGUCUGAUCUAACAAUGAUAUUGAUGCAGAUUUCCUAGAGGUUUAAGAUGCCUUGAAACUUUAGAUCAUAUUUGAAGCAUAUAUGAUUGAUUUUUCUUAAGCGUGACCUAAUGGAGAAUUGUUUCUGUUAAAAGAACAUCCUUGGCUUCAAAAUGCAAAGAAGGCUCCGAAUUUUCCUCUUGGAGACGUCGUCAAGUCAAGACUCAAGCAAUUCUCGUUGAUGAAUAGGGUUCAAAAGGAAGGUUCUGAGGGUUGAUUUACUAGUAUAGCUUCUUUUGUACUUUUCUCCAAUGAAGAUGCUCCAGAAAAACAUUUGAGCUUUUGUAUCUAUGAUUAGGUAAUUGCUGAUUUCUUGUCCAAUGAAGAAGUCGAAGACUAGAUAGACACUGUUGAUGAUGGUAUUGUUUCAACUGAAGAACUCAAAGGUUGGAUUACAAAAUUUCAAUCCACAGCUGGCGGAUUCUGAAGUACAAAUGCUUAUUGAAGCUGUGAGUCUACAGCCUGCUUUGCAUUGUUGAGACAUGCAAACAAUUGUUCUAUUUACAAGUUUUCUUCCAUAUUGUUUAAACGAUUAUAGAGCUUCCCAAUGAUGUGAGCUUGAGAGUUCACAUAUUCUUACAGCCAUUAAAUUCUGAGCAAUUUUUUUCCAAGGGAUAUGGUAUUAGUACGGAAAAUGGAUCCAUCCAUUUCUCCUUUUCACUAUUAAGAAGUUUCCAGAAGAACAUAUAGGGUGAUUGAAAUGAAGAGAGAACUGAAGGGUGAUUGAAAUGAAGAGAGAACUGAAGUGAAAAGGUAGAUAAAGAACAUUGUUGAUUGCGUAAGCUUUAGGUGUUGUAUGAGGAUUUUAUAUGUUCGCUUGUUUUCAAAUUAACAUGAGAACAAAAAGGAAAAUAUACAGUAUUGAAUUCCUUAACUUGCUUUGGCCAAUACAGUUUAACCGUUACCCUGCAUGCAAACACCACAAACUAUAUCUCUACUCAGCCUGCUUGGACAUACAAAUAUAUAAUGCCUUGCUUCAUACCCCGAUAAUUGCAUAGCAAUACUCCAACAGGUACCAGUAGUUUAAAACCAACGCAUCACACAGACUGAGUAUAUCACAUACAUACUGCCCAAUAUGAUGAGAUUCUUCCAACUAUCUGGAAUGAGUGUUAGAUGGUGGCUGUGAACAGAUAUGAUCCAAGCCUGGACUUGGAUCUGAUUAAUUUUCAAUGAAAGUUAAACUCAAAUUAUAACUCUAUUGAAAAAAGAAAUCUGGUUGAAUGUACCCUCAGUUUUUAUGUAAGAGCUAUUCAAAGUCUCUUGUUUUCUCAAUUCUCUAUAUUGCUACUGGUAGACAUGAAUGGAUAAGGAACCACGAACUCUGGAGAAUUUCUUGCCAUUUCACUCCAUCUACAAAGAAUACCAACGAUGAGCGUCUCCACAAGGCAUUUUCCUAUUUCGACAAAGAUGGCAAUGGUUAUAUUGAGCCAGAUGAGCUUCAAGAUUCCUUAAUGGAGGACAGAGCAGAUGAUUGUGCAAAUGUAGCAAAGGACGUAUUCUAGGAGGUUGACUCAGACAAGGUGAAAACAAAUUCCUAAGCAUUGAAUUUACAAAGUAGAUGAGUUUAUUUUCAAUCAUUCAAUUAUGAAUGCAGGAUGGAAGAAUCAGUUAUGAUGAAUUUGUUGCUAUGAUGAAAACGGGUAUGGACUGGAGAAAGGCUUCUCAGUAUAACUCAAGAGGGAGAUUAAAUAGUCUUAGCAUAAAGUUGAUGAAAGAUGGUUCUAUUAACCUGUGUGAGUAAAUAUAUACAAGUUCAUCGUUUCGUUUGUCUGUAUAAAGUACUGAGGCAUGAUGUUUCACACUUGAUUUCUUUUUCAUUAUUUGCAGGAUUUCUUAUGUUAGAUGGGGUUCCAUUGAUUGGUGGCUUACAAUAAUCAUUGUCGAGAAUAGUGCAUCUGAUUAGCCUCUUCAAAUUGUUGAUUUAGUGAAAACAGUCUUGUAGCCCUUGAAUAUGUGUUGCACAAUCCUCUCAUCUCAUCUCUAUUAACAAUUUUAAAUAUUUUUGUUGACAAGUUGAAAUAAGAAAUUUGAUAAUUCUAUGUUAUAUUUGUGCCAAAGAACC
rnacentral:lncRNA from 1 species